rnacentral:lncRNA from 1 species
CAGAUAUUGGCUGCCGCUCUCGCGGAUCCCCCACAACACCAGACUAACCAGGGGCCAAAGAAAAAGCCGGCAUCAGACCGAGGACCAGGUAAGACCCCAUGCUAUGGUGUGGCCAGAUUGGACAUUGGAGUAAGGAAUGUCCAAACCAAAGCUCUCCACCAGGGCCAUGUCCUGUCUGUAAGGAAGAAGGACAGUGGAAGAGAGGCUGUCCUCAUCUCCAGAGAGAGAGGAAGACAGGAACUCACUUCCUCGCCUGAGAGCAGGAACCUGAGGAUCUGGCACGAUGGGGCCCUGAGGCUGGUCCGGCUCCCUUUGACAUCAAGAUGACUGAGCCCCAGGUUACCCUGGAUGUGGAAGGAAACCAGUGAACAAACUAACAUGCCUUCUUAUUCCUGCGAACCUUUAGAAGAUCUGAAACUCCUGUUCAAACGACUAUGAAGUGUCUCCCCGCCUGGUGCCGAGACUCUCUGACUGCCAUUACUUCAAGCUCACAGAUGACCCUUUCCGCCGCAGGAGAUUCCCACAUGUUGUCCGUCUUGGAUUCGGCUGCUUCUGCCUUUGCGGGAGAGAGUGAGAGAAAACAGAAGCAGAGGGAGCAGCAGAGGGAGAAGCAGGCUCCCAUUGAGCAAGGAGCCUGAUGCGGGACUCGAUCCCAGGACCCGAGGAUCAUGACCUGAGCCGAAGGCAGACCCUUAACCAACGGAGCCCUUCAGGUGCCCUGUUGUCUGUAUUUAAGAGUCUCUUGGUUGGUUGGCUGGCUUGGGAUUUUGUUGUUCAUUUGUUUUGUUUCUUAGAUUCUAAAUAUGAGUGAAAUCACCUGGUAUUUUUCUUUCUCUGAUUUAUUUCGCUUAGCAUAAUACCCCCAUGUUUAUCCAUGUGGCAAAUGACAAGACCCAUUCUUUUUUGUGGCUGAGUAAUAUUCCAUCAUAGGUAC